UUUUCCCUGCGGUGUUCGUCAAGGCCAUAGACUCCUUGAACCAAUGCUGAUUGGCAUCGGGUGGCCGACCUAAAAACCGCUGUUGUGCCCGCCCCUCGUCGGGUGGACCUGAUGCGGAAGGAAGGCUGCCUACUCUGGACUCCGGUUCAGGAUGCCGGCCUAACGGCACAGGCGGGGAUCCC
rnacentral:other from 1 species